rnacentral:rRNA from 1 species
AUUGAACGCUGGCGGCAGGCCUAACACAUGCAAGUCGAGCGAGCGGCGGGCGGGUGAGGAAUGUCUGGGAAACUGCCUGAUGGAGGGGGAUAACUACUGGAAACGGUAGCUAAUACCGCAUACCAUCAGAUGUGCCCAGAUGGGAUGAGCUAGUAGGUGGGGUAACGGCUCACCUAGGCGACGAUCCCUCGCUGGUCUGAGAGGAUGACCAGCCACACUGGAAUUGGGACACGGUCCAGAGUCCUACGGGAGGCAGCAGUGGGGAAUCUUGAACAAUGGGCGCAAGCCGGAGGCAGCCAGGCCGCGUGUGUGAAGAAGGCCUUCGGGUUGUAAAGCACUUUCAGCGGGGAGGCGUUACCCGCAGAAGAAGCACCGGCUAACUCCGUGCCAGCAGCCGCGGUAAUUC